GGAGGCUUAGCUCAGCUGGGAGAGCAUCUGCCUUACAAGCAGAGGGUCGGGGGUUCGAUCCCCUCAGCCUCCACCA
rnacentral:tRNA from 211 species